AGCAGCCGCGGUAAUUCCAGCUCCAAUAGCGUAUAUUAAAGUUGUUGCAGUUAAAAGCUCGUAGUUGAAUUUUUGAUUCUGCCAAUUGGUCCAUCUUUUAGAUGAGUACUGGUUGUGUGGGGUCUAUCCGCCUGGUGAUACGUAAUGUCCUUUAUUGGAUGUUGCGGGUAGUCAGGACCUUUACCUUGAAAAAUUGAGUGUUUAAAGCAGGCUUAUGCCGGAAUACAUUAGCAUGGAAUAAUAGAAUAGGACGAAGUUGUUUUAUUUUGUUGGUUUCUAGGACAACCGUAAUGAUUAAUAGGGAUAGUUGGGGGCAUUAGUAUUCAAUUGUCAGAGGUGAAAUUCUUGGAUUUAUUGAAGACUAACUACUGCGAAAGCAUUUGCCAAGGAUGUUUUCAUUAAUCAAGAACGAAAGUUAGGGAUACGAAGACGAUCAGAUACCGUCGUAGUCUUAACCAUAAACUAUGCCGGCUAGGGAUCGGGCGAGUGUUGUUUCCAUGACUCGCUCGGCACCUUA
rnacentral:misc_RNA from 1 species